AUUGAACGCUGGCGGCAGGCCUAACACAUGCAAGUCGAGCGGAUGAAGGGAGCUUGCUCCUGGAUUCAGCGGCGGACGGGUGAGUAAUGCCUAGGAAUCUGCCUGGUAGUGGGGGAUAACGUCCGGAAACGGGUGCUAAUACCGCAUACGUCCUGAGGGAGAAAGUGGGGGAGCUUCGGACCUCACGCUAUCAGAUGAGCCUAGGUCGUAUUAGCUAGUUUGUGGGGUAAAGGCCUACCAAGGCGACGAUCCGUAACUGGUCUGAGAGGAUGAUCAGUCACACUGGAACUGGCAAACGCUCCAGGCUACUGCGAGAGGCAGCAGUGGGGAAUAUUGGACAAUGGGCGGAAGCCUGAUCCAGCCAGCCCACGUGUGUGAAGAAGAUCUUCGGAUUGUAAAGCACUUUAAGUUGGGAGAAAGGGCAGUAGGUUAAUACCUAGCUGUUUUGACGUUACCAGCAGAAUAAGCACCGGCUAACUUCGUG
rnacentral:rRNA from 1 species